rnacentral:lncRNA from 1 species
CUGACAACUUCGCAGGGCUUAGAGACUGGUGUGGGGACAUGGGAAUCUGCCAGCAGCUUAUACACAGGUGGAUGACGGCAUUCAAAGUGGGCUGCACUGCUGUCUGGAAGAGGCUCAGCAUCUCCUGGUGCCAAGUGCAGGGCUGGGGCCAGCAGUGUCUGGGGGCAAGCCUCGUGCCUGCUUUUUGUGGCUGACCAUGGACAGCUCUUCCGCAUCUUUCUGGUCAGAGGCACCCUGUGAAUCUCCCAGAGGGGAGAUGUAAAAGCUCUGCACACUCAGCCCAUCAACACCAAAUCCACCAGCAACACAUCAGCUCGCCCCGAUGAGAUAAGGCAGAGAUCACCUGUCCAAUAAAAUCAUUAAGCA